UGUCUGCAGCUGCCAGGGCUGGAGGUGAGAGGUCCAGAGGGCUCCAGCUGCCCAGGCCAGCCAGCCACUUCAAGCGUUGAUAGGACUAAUCCCUGCACACCUGUCUCCCAUCUGAGGCCCUGUGUGGCUGGGGCACAUAAGUCUAGAAGCUCUGGUCUAUGGGAAAGUAAAGAGAAGCCCAGGCCUCUUGGCUUGGGCUGGCUUCUAUCGGGUGCCUGCAGGCCCUAGCAGUCCAGAUCACUUCUCAGAGUCCUUGGCUGGAGGUUUCCCUGGCUACCUAGGGAGUGAGUGCAGGCUGGGAUCAAACACUCCAGGGGGCCAGCCCGGGGACGUGACCAGCCUGGGGAUGUUUUCUUACAGUUGAUGUGUAGAAUGUGAGGGAAUGAUGCUCUCCUGGGUCCCUCCCUCUUCUUCUCUACUUUCUCUCUGCUUCCUUCUCCCUGCCCACCACGUCAGCCCAGGCUCAACUUGCGCGUAGACAGCCCUUGAGGUGCCUGCUCCUCAAGCUGUCUUUGCUCAGACAACGGGUCAGGAUCUCAGACUCUCAGCCAGCUCUACCCCAACUGGCUGCGGGACUUGGGCCUCUCACAAGCCUUCCCUCUGCAAGCCCUUGGCCAGCUGCCUGCCCUUGGAGGCUCUUGAAGUCUCUUCCUCCUCUUCCCACUCCAGGUUUUCUACACCAACUGCAGCUGUGUGGCGGAGGGCAACCCCGUGCUGGCAGGAUCCUGCGACUCAACCUGCAGCCACCUGGUGGUGCCCUUCCUGCUCCUGGUCAGCCUGGGCUCGGCCCUGGCCUGUCUCACCCACACACCCUCCUUCAUGCUCAUCCUAAGGUGAAGGUGGGGGCGGGGCGGGAGGUCCUUAACCACAGGCAGAACAAGGAAUUCCAAGGGCGGAGUUCAAGAAAGGAGACCACUUGGGUGUCCUGGUCCCCACAACAUGGCCUUAACUGUGUUCAUCCCAUGGUAACCUACUGAGGCAAGGUUUUCUCCCCAUCUUGCAGAUAAGAAAAUUGAGGCUCAGAGAAGUUCAGGAGCUGGCCCCCAUCAUAUAGCAAGUGUUGGGUGGAAUAGUACUGGUUCCCUGGCCCAGAGCCCAGGCUCCUACUUGUCCAGGGGAGAGGAGGACAUACCUAGGGCCGUGUCCUGGCCUCUGGAGGUGAGGGCAUCAUACCUGCAAUGGAUGAGCUGCAGGAGGUGCAUCUAGGAAACCAAACUGUGUCAGUCUGGUGCAUGAUUCUGAAUACUGCUUCAAGGCUACAUACAAGUGCUUAUUAGGUGCCCGCUGUGGACCCAACCCGUGCUGAGCACUGCCUUUUGGGCCAAGAUCUUUGUGGCCCUCGUCCUAAGAAUGCCUGCUGGUCCUGACAAAUUGUCACCUGAGUUCAAAGUCAGGGUCUCCUGGGGUGAGGGCUGGGAUAAGAGGACUGAGUGAGAAAAAAAUGGUUUUUUUUUUUUGAGACGGAGUUUUGCUCUGUUGCCCAGGCUGGAGUGCAAUGGCACAAUCUCGGCUCACUGCAACCUCCUCCUCCUGGGUUCAAGUGAUUCUCCUGCCUCAGCCUCCCUAGUAGCUGGGAUUACAGGCACCCACCACCACACCCAGCUAAUUGUAUUUUUAGCAGAGACGGAGUUUCACCAUGUUGGCCAGGCCAGUCUCGAACUCCUGACCUCAGUGAUCCACCUGCCUUGGCCUCCCAAAGUGCUGGGAUUACAGGCGCGAGCCACCACACUCGGCUGAGAAAAACAGUUUUUCUAUUCUCUCACUCAACAAUCAACCCAGAAGACUUCUGCGACCAGAAGUGUGGGGGUAUUUUCCCACACACCAGGCACUCAAUUAAUUCUGCAGUGGACCCUAGCCAGCGUCCUCCAAUUCUAUUCUGACACGAUCUACCUGGAGACAGCAUCAGAUCCCACAGGCUGAGCGCUCAGUCCCACAAGACUUCUCCUCCGCUUCCCAUGCCAACCGCAAGCCCCAGGCUGUUUUACCAAUGAUUCUGACCGACCAGCCAUACGCUGGGAUUUCCACAGCCCCAUCUUUGAGUUUGCUUUAUUUGCUAGAGUGACUCACGGAGUUCAGGAAAACAUCUACUUAAUGUUUAUCAGUUUAUUACAAAAGAUAUUAGAAAGGAUACAGAUGAAGUGAUGCAUACAGCGAGGUAUGGGGGAGGAACUUUCAUGCCCUCCCUGGCUGCACCCUGCAGGGACCUCCAUGUGUUCCGCUAUCCGGAAGCUCUCCAAAGCUUCGUUAUGUAGGCAUGAUUGAUUAAAUCACUGGAUAUUGGCAGUCACCUUAACCUUCAGCGCCUCUCCCCUUGCUGGAGGUUGGGGCUGAAAGUCCCAACCCUCUAAUCCUGCCUUGGUCCCUCUGGUGACCAAGCCCCAGCCUGAAGCUACCUAGGGGCUGCUCACCAUCAAUCAACUCAUUGGCAUACAAAAAGACACUUCUCACUUUGAAGAUUCCAAGAAUUUUAGGAGUGUAUGCCGGGAAGACCAAAUACAUAUCUCACAAUAUCACAGGGACCUCAGAGCAAGAUAAUUUCCAUUUUCCUUCCCCUGGGAUUAUUUUAUUCACUAUCUACUUUCUAGGAAAUUAGAAGGGAAAUGGAGCCCCUUGCAAAUACUAGAAGACAUGUAGAUCUAGAACACAAGCUGGCCUGGGAGAGAAAAUAGAGGAAUCAGAUGCCCAACAGGCAGCCUGACUAAAAGGAGUUGAGAACACAGCCUCAGGGCUGCGUGGAUACAGGCCCUGACUGCUGUCAGCCAUGAGAUCUUGGCCAAGUUAUUGAAUCUGUCUAAGUGUCAGUCUCCUUAUCUGUAAAAUGGGGCUAAUGUACACCUCGCUCACAGGAGUGAUGUGGGGUUGCAAGGCAAUGUUACUGAGCCCGUAGUAAGCGCUCCAUAAAUGCCGGCCACUGGUGUUGUCUGGCAGGAGCCAGAGGAUCGCAGGCUGUGGUGUUACAGUGGUUGGGGAUGCUGGGGAAGUGUCUGACUGUCCCAGCUCCAGGUCUUGCCAACUGUAGGAGUAAGGGGAGAAUUUGAUGGGACCAGUGGGUGGAGGAAGAAGAGUGAUGUCUGUGACCAGAAACAUACAGAGGUCAGCACAGGACCCUGAUGGUCAGUGGGUGUGUUGUCUUGUAUAUGGGACCAGGCUCUGCAGGUUGAAAAAGGAUGGGGUACGUCCCUGAGCCCCCAGCCUAGAUCACCAGAUGGGAGGGAGGCUGGCUCUGGGUGGUGGGAGAGAAGGGCAUAAUGAGAACCCUUCAACAUUGAUGCAUGGCCCUUGGGGGCUGGAACCCCUCCAACCUCAUGUUGCCCAUGUCUCUGCUUGUUAGAGGAGUGAAGAAAGAAGACAAGACUUUGGCUGUGGGCAUCCAGUUCAUGUUCCUGAGGAUUUUGGGUAAAGAUCUUGCUUGGGACCAUUGGUGGUGGUGAUGGGAUCCAGAUGCCCACUGUGUGCCAGGCCUGGGGCACAGGCAUGAGCGGAACUCAAUCCCUGAUCUUAGGGCUCACAAGCCCAUGGGGUGAUAGACCUGGCCCAGCUCUCCUAGAGCCGGGUAUACAGGCAGAGUCUAGACAGCCCGUCAGGAAGCCACCUCGGAUGCAGGGGUGGGGCGGGCUUGAGGGCCAGAGAGCCAAGAGGCCCCAGUAACCCAGAGCCCCUGAGGGGUUGUACGUGCCAGGGAGGGGGCAGGGCAGGACGGUGGGCCUUCUUUGUCCCCUGAGCACCAUCUCCCUCAGCCUGGAUGCCCAGCCCCGUGAUCCACGGCAGCGCCAUCGACACCACCUGUGUGCACUGGGCCCUGAGCUGUGGGCGUCGAGCUGUCUGUCGCUACUACAAUAAUGACCUGCUCCGAAACCGGUUCAUCGGCCUCCAGUUCUUCUUCAAAACAGGUUCUGUGAUCUGCUUCGCCUUAGUUUUGGCUGUCCUGAGGCAGCAGGACAAAGAGGCAAGGACCAAAGAGAGCAGAUCCAGCCCUGCCGUAGAGCAGCAACUGCUAGUGUCGGGGCCAGGGAAGAAGCCAGAGGAUUCCCGAGUGUGAGCUGUCUUGGGGCCCCACCUGGCCAAGAGUAGCAGCCACAGCAGUACCUCCUCUGAGUCCUUUGCCCAAGAUUGGGUGUCAAGAGCCCUGUGUUCCAUUCUGGCUCCUCCACUAAAUUGCUGUGUGACUUCAGGCAAGACACCUAUCCUCUCUGAGCCUUUGCUUGCUAGUCUGAACCGAAGAGUUGUUUGGGCGUUUGCUGUGUUGGCCAUUUCUGAAGCAAGAGGGUCUUCCUCCUCCUUCCCCCAGCCAGCCAGCUGUCCUGCAGCCAGGCUUUCCUGGGUGGAAAGACUGUAUACCUUUCCCCGGGGCCCUAGGAUAGCAAAGUGAGCCAUAGUGGGCCAGGCUGUCCUCCAUGCUGGGCCCCAGCGCAGGUCUGCACUCGCCUGGAUCACCCUCUUUGAGCCUUAGCCAUCUCCUGUCAGGUGGGAAUGAACUUGCCAGCCUUCAGGCUCGCUCAGCUGUGACCAUCUGUGCGGUCAGGGUACACUCAGAUCUCCUCCCCAACUCCAGCAACCUUUAAGAAGUGUCCCUUUGGCGCCCCCUGGAGGCAGAGCACUGAGCUGGACCCUGGGUAAACUCCCGCAGGGAGGACGGAGCUGGCCUCAGGUGUGGGACACCCAGACUUGGCAGGGCCUUCAAGAGGCCUGUGUGGGGGCCCCAGGAAGCCUUAGCUGAAGCGGGGAGACUCACUCUCCAUCUCAGGAAGUUCUAGCCCUUGCCCUCAGGGAGCCACGGUUGAGGGUGAGGCCCAACACCUGCCUUAGGGCCCUGGGUGGGCAAGUCUGGGCCCUGGGGUAGGGAGGGAGACUCAGGCCCACACUUGGGUAUUUUCUAAUUUCAGACAAACACACACUCAGCGUGCACUCACUGAUUCCUACACAUUGCCAAUAUUUCACACGUGACCAGGGGCCACCAAAGUCCCUGUGACCUUUGUAACUAGGAUCCUAAUUUCUCUAUUUUCUCCUGGGUGCCUGGGUCUGUGUCACCUGGGGCAGUGUGGAUAAUGUUUAGUUCUGUGACACUGUUUUUUGGGGGUGGCACCUGGUUCUCUGAUGCCUGGGCUGGCAUCAGGCCCAGGACUGUAGAGCUGGGAGCAGUAAAGCUCAGCUCUGUGUAAUGAGUGAUGCUAUAGCUUGCUCGGGUCUUAUGAUCCAAUCCUUUUCUACAUCAGGCCUUGUUUUGUUUUAUGGCUAGUCUUAUCUGGCCUGGUUAUUUCCCUGCGGGGAGGAGAGAGUUUGCUAAUCGGCUCCCAGCCCAACCUAUUACCACCCCACCUCUCUGGGACCUGCUGCUUGGGAAGCAGCAGACAGGGAGCCACCAGCAGUGGCUUCCUGGCCCUGUGCUGGGGGUGGGGGGAAGCUGGGGGCACAUGUGGCCCUUGCCUUCUGAGCAGCUCCCAGUGCCAGGGCUUUGAGACUUUCCCACAUGAUAAAAGAAAAGGGAGCUACAGAAGUUCCAAUUCCCUUUUUAUUUUGCUGGUUGGUAUCUGUAAAUGUUUAACAAAUAUCUGAGCAUGUAUGUAUCAAUGCCAAGAAUUGCAAAGUAUCCUUCAACAAUAUGAGGCUUUUAGGAUGUUUAUAUUCCUUCAUCCCUCUUGUUUCCCAGGUUUUGCAGGGAAAAAAAGUCUGGAAUUAUAGAUACGGCUUAUUAUUAAAUUUGUUCUUGCAUAAUGUCUCUUCUAUUACAAAAAUUCUUUCUUUAUAAACUGCAUUAGAGGUUUGCAACAACCACAUCAUUUCCAUUAACUUAGAUUUAAGUUUUACUGGAUUCAUUGCUCACCAUUAUUGCUUGUAUAUUACAUCUUUUCCAAUCUUUA
rnacentral:sRNA from 1 species